rnacentral:rRNA from 1 species
GACGAACGCUGGCGGCGUGCCUAAUACAUGCAAGUCGAACGCAGUGGGGACGGGUGAGUAACACGUGGGCAACCUCCCAUCAGAGGGGACAACAAUUGGAAAUAGGUGCUAAACAGUUACUGACGGAUGGUCCCGCGGUGAAUUAGCUAGUUGGUGAGGUAUCUGCUCACCAAGGCCACGAUUCAUAGCCGACCUUAAAGGUGGAUCGGCCAACCUGGGACGUAGGCACGGCCCAGACUCCUACGGGAGGCAGCAGUAGGGAAUCUUCGGCAAUGGACGAAAGUCUGACCGAGCAACGCCGCGUGAGUGAAGAAGGUUUUCGGAUCGUAAAACUCUGUUGUUAAAGAAGCGGUAUCUAACCAGAAAGCCACGGCUAACUACGUGCCAGCCGCCGCGGUAAUAC